GGGAUUGAAAUGUAGAAACAGGAGGGAGUGGAUGCGAGAAAACGGUUUCUACGGAGAAAGGGGAUCAUCGUUUUGGAAGAAAAUAACUUUCCGGAGAAGGUUGAAGUUGCAAGAACUGCCGAUGGAGAAGCAACUUGCCGGAGACAAAGAGACGACGGAGGGAGAGGGAGAGAAGAACUGAAAGUAGUCUGAAAAAAUUAACAGUCGUGUUCCGUGACCUCGAUUGCGGUUCCCCGUAACUGCAAUUUCGGUUCCGCGGAACCCAUCGCGAGUUCCGCGGAACUCGAUCGCGGUUCGGCGGAACUCGAUUUCGAUUCCGCCGAACCCAUCGCCACUUCCGUGAAACUCAUCUCCGGGGAACCUCCGCUCGCCGAACAGAGCAACGACCGUCCGGAUGAAUCUCCGGGGAACCUCCGAUUUCGAUUCAAUGAACGGUCGAGAAUUUUUGUGUAGAUGGACGGCCGGAUCGGAGGUCCGCACCAGUGACCGUUCCUACUACCGGCCGUUCCAAA
rnacentral:lncRNA from 1 species